rnacentral:rRNA from 1 species
CCAGACUCCUACGGGAGGCAGCAGUGAGGAAUAUUGGUCAAUGGCCGGAAGGCUGAACCAGCCAAGCCGCGUGAGGGAGGAAGGCGCAGAGCGUCGCAGACCUCUUUUGCCGGGGGACAAAAGGCCGGACUCGUCCGGUCCUGAGGGUACCCGGAGAAAAAGCAUCGGCUAACUCCGUGCCAGCAGCCGCGGUAAUACGGAGGAUGCGAGCGUUAUCCGGAUUCAUUGGGUUUAAAGGGUGCGCAGGCGGCACGGCAAGCCGGCGGUCAAAUCGCGGGGCUCAACCCCGCCCAGCCGUCGGAACUGCCGGGCUAGAGUGGGCGAGAAGUGCGCGGAAUGCGUGGUGUAGCGGUGAAAUGCAUAGAUAUCACGCAGAACUCCGAUUGCGAAGGCAGCGCACCGGCGCCCUACUGACGCUCAGGCACGAAAGCGUGGGUAUCGAACAGGAUUAGAUACCCCAGUA